rnacentral:lncRNA from 10 species
GUAGCGCCUCCGCUGAGGGACCCGGCGGGAACAAACCGCCGCCGCGGCGGGAGCUGGGCUCGAGUGGCCGGAGGCGGGCCCUUGUCUUCGCCGCCGCUCCUGCACCCUGUGCUCCCUGAAGCCGCCGCCUUCAGAACGCUCAGCCCCUGGAUGUUAAGGCUCACUCGGGCGCCAGCCGCAGCCAGGGAAGUGGCGGCGGUCCCCACCCGUCCUCUCCCCAAGGCGGCGCCCGGGCCACCGGGCCGAAGCGCAGUGGGAGCGCGAGGCUGAGACGCCGGGACCCACGCCGCCCCAGCGCGGCCCGCCGGCGCCCACCCGAGCCCGCACGGCUUCCAGCCCGAGGGGAGACGCAUUCGAGUGAUCACCAGGAGCGAACUUGGCGCCCGCAGCCUUGGGCCUGGGAGAGGUGAGAUUGCGGCGGCGCCCUCUCCUCCCUCCGCUGUCGGGCCCGCCACCCCUCUCCGCGCGGAGAGGCCGGGCAGAGCGCCGGCCGCUGUGGCCGCGUUCCCGGGGCGCGGGCCGGUCUACUGCUCCGAGUUUGCCUGUUCUCCGACCCUCUGGAUCUCGGCAUCCGUUUGUCUCAGUCUCUGUGACUAUCUCACUCUCCGUGAGUCUCUGUGGAAACGGCAUUUGUCUGGAUGUCUGUUCAUGGGUCUGGGAAUCCGCUUAAUUUCUCCCUCCCCUCUCCCUGGCCCCAGUUGCCCUGAGGACUGGACACCCCCCACCUUCCUGGCUCCCAGGGUUCUGGGCCCCACCGACAGGCGGCAGGACCUCCUCCGCCCCCUGCCCGACACCCCCUCAGUGAACCCUGACCUCCACCAAGUGUUGCCUUCAUCUCUCAAAAGUCUUGUGCAACUAAGGUUGGCCCUGUGCCUUGUUUCUCGCUAGCCGGGUUCCUGCCCAUCCUAUUAGACCUCUUUCUCCCCCGGCCUCCCUCCAGGACCCAGAAACAAGCAGCUUCAACACAGAUUGGGCCCAUUUCAGCCUCUGGGGCACGGAAGGGGAGAUGGGCGCUGGACGUGAGCAGGAACUGAGCGGAUGCCUGGGCUGCUGCCCCGACAGCGCCGCACAGUGGCUAAAGCUCGGGCGUGCGAGGCCGGAAUCCCAGCUGCCUCCGCUGUAGCAAGGCUGUGUGACCCUCAUUAGGUGACUUCCCCGCUUCGGAGCCUCAGUUUCCUGGUCUGCAUAGUAGUUAAGAGCAGCGACCUUAAGUCAGGCUCCUGGGGUUCCAAUCCUGCCUUCACUACUUACCCUAUCUGUCACCUUGGGCAAGGUUCUUUGCGCUUUGUUUCUGCCUUUGUAAAAAUGAGGCUAGUAACACCUACCUCAGAACUGAUGUAUAAGUGUAGCCAUAUUCUAGGCCAUUUAGGAAAGGGUACUGAGAACACUUUGCAGUUUCAUCUAACAGCAGCCUCCAAUCUACGGGAUAGCCUGGUGUUAAUCCAACUCUCCCAUUCCACAGAUGGAGCUACAGAGGCCCAGGAUAGGGAGAAAGAACUCACCCAGGCUCCUGCAAAGAAAUAGAACAGAGUUGGGUUGCAACCCUUUUCACAGAAUCCUCAAAAUAGAGUUCUUCAUCCCCCCAAGGUAAGGGCAGAAAAAAAUGGAAGGCAGGUCUGACUACUCAUGUCCUUUGAGAGGAAGUCGCCUGGGCCCCCUCUGGGACCUCUGACCAAGGGGAUCCAUUUAAUGUGCUGUUCCAGCAUAAACUGUCAUUGGAAAAAAGAGAAAUCUCGUCCUCAAACCAUGGACAGCAAAUUGGACAGGGACUAGUAGCCCUGGAAUUGGAAUUUCCUGGGUGACAGACUGUCCGGGGAAAAAGGUCUUGGAGAGAAGCUUCUUGCAUGAGUCCAAGGAAACUCACAUACCUAGGGUUGCUAGAUUUAGCAGAUUUAUUUUAUCUGGCAACCCUACACAUACCUCAAGCUUGCUCUUGACUACAUGGA